rnacentral:rRNA from 1 species
CCCUUAGAUGUUCUGGGCCGCACGCGCGCUACACUGUUCGACGCAGCGAGUCUUAACCUUGACCGAAAGGUUUGGGUAAUCUUCAGCAAAGUCGAACGUGAUGGGGAUCGAUCAUUGCAAUUAUUGAUCGUGAACGAGGAAUUCCUAGUAAGUGCAAGUCAUCAGCUUGCGCUGAUUACGUCCCUCCCCUUUGUACACACCGCCCGUCGCUACUACCGAUUGAAUGGUUUAGUGAGAUCUCUGGAUUGACGCUGGCUAGGGGGCGACCCUUGGCCAGACUGUUGAGAAACUGCUCAAACUUGAUCAUUUAGAGGAAGUAAAAGUCGUAACA